AGUUCCGUAACUAGCAACGCUGAAGUGGAAAGUGGGGCGGGGCCCACCGGCCGGAGCGGAAAGGCUAGCGCCUGCGUUCUGCGGCUCGUAACGGCCCUGCCCUCUGGGUAGCGAGCCAAUCGGAGUCCGGGUAGGAGGCAGAAAGCUCUGAGGGAGGGGAAAGUGUGUGAACCCCAAAGAACCGCCCCGUUUCGCUACGAGGUAGGAACUUCUUUUGUUCCCGUUCGGGCUUCUCUCUACAGCCAACUGGAACCAUCUCCAAAGUAGGUUUGCUCCGACUUAGCCAUCUGGCAGCUCGGGGUGCUGUUACUGCGAGGAGGGCACCGUGCCUCGGCCGGGCCCCUUCCCCCGGCUUCAGGAGCGGCUCCGCCUCAGAGGGACUGACAGCCAUGUUUACGGGGGAGUCAGGAUGAUGUACUCGGACCACAAACUUCCAGCUGGUACCACCACUAAUAAACCCGAGGCAGCAGGGCAAGAGUGGAGACGUACAAGGUUCUCACAAGUACCACUCACCACGACGUCAUUCCAGAACUCGUGGCAGGAGGUGCCUGAGUGGCACUCCCUGCCAAUUACGGGCAGCUUGGUGUGUCUUAAGUGUGGAGAGGAGAAGGAAGCUGAUGAAGUACAGCGUAAAGAAUGGUCUGCAGUACCUGCUUUCUGGGUGAGCUGGGCCACAGUGGGCAACACAGGAGGAUCCCUGGUCUGAAGGAAAUAGAUCACGAGCAACGUCAAGGCAUAGUUAUUGAGAAGUGGGCCACUCCCUGGGAAAUAAAAAGUAAUUACAA